UGGGGAAUAUUGGACAAUGGGGGCAACCCUGAUCCAGCGAUGCCGCGUGUGUGAAGAAGGCCUGCGGGUUGUAAAGCACUUUAGUUGGGGAGGAAAGGUAUGUACUGCAUAAGUGCAUGCUGUGACGUUACCCAAAGAAUAAGCACCGGCAAACUCUGUGCCAGCAGCCGCGGUAAUACAGAGGGUGCAAGCGUUAAUCGGACUUACUGGGCGUAAAGGGCGCGUAGGCGGCGUGGUAAGUCAUCUGUGAAAUCUCCGAGCUUAACUCGGAACGGUCAGAUGAUACUGCUGUGCUAGAGUACAGAAAGGGCAAUCGGAAUUCUUGGUGUAGCGGUGAAAUGCGUAGAUAUCAAGAGGAACACCUGAGGCGAAGGCGGGUUGCUAGGCUGAUACUGACGCUGAGGCGCGAAAGCCAGGGGAGCAAACGGGAUUAGAUACCCCGUAGUCCCUGAGCGGGCUGGCAAGGCGCAU
rnacentral:rRNA from 1 species